rnacentral:rRNA from 1 species
AGAGUUUGAUUAUGGCUCAGAANNNNNGCUGGCGGCGCGCCUAAUACAUGCAAGUCGAGCGAGAAGACGUAGCAAUACGUUUGUAAAGCGGCGAACGGGUGAGGAAUGCAUGGGUAACCUACCCUCGAGUGGGGAAUAACUAGCCGAAAGGUUAGCUAAUACCGCGUACGCUCCUUGGACUUCGGUUCAGGGAGGAAAGCGAUACCGUGGGUAUCGCGCUCUUGGAUGGGCUCAUGUCCUAUCAGCUUGUUGGUGAGGUAACGGCUCACCAAGGCUUCGACGGGUAGCUGGUCUGAGAGGACGAUCAGCCACACUGGCACUGCGACACGGGCCAGACUCCUACGGGAGGCAGCAGUAAGGAAUAUUGCGCAAUGGGCGAAAGCCUGACGCAGCGACGCCGCGUGGGGGAUGAAGGUCUUCGGAUUGUAAACCCCUUUCGGGAGGGAAGAUGGAAUGGGGUAACCCAUUCGGACGGUACCUCCAGAAGCAGCCACGGCUAACUUCGUGCCAGCAGCCGCGGUAAUACGAAGGUGGCAAGCGUUGUUCGGAUUUACUGGGCGUACAGGGAGCGUAGGCGGUUCGGUAAGCCCUCUGUGAAAUCUCCAGGCUUAACCUGGAACAGUCGGAGGGGACUGCUGGGCUAGAGGACGGGAGAGGAGCGCGGAAUUCCCGGUGUAGCGGUGAAAUGCGUAGAGAUCGGGAGGAAGGCCGGUGGCGANNGCGGCGCUCUGGAACNNNNCUGACGCUGAGGCUCGAAAGCGUGG